UUAGUGUGAUUGGCUCAAACGCCAGCCCCUCUCCGCUCCCGAAGGGUCAGUGGGUGGAGCUGAAGGCCCGGGCCCGCCCAGCGCGAGGUUGGUUACCCCGGCAACCAGCAUCCCUCCGGGGCUACCCGGGAGCCGCCCCUUCGCCAGUCAUCGCGUUCCCCUACCAAAAGACACAUCAUCGGAGAUGCCAAGGAGGACAGCAGCUCCGUGCAGGAAAGGGGGGCAGAGACCAAAUAUGUAUUAAUGAUGUCGUAGCAUCUCGAAAUGAGUACGGAGGUAUUCGCGAGAGCCGUUUAUGUGCCACAAACUCUCCAGGCAGGAGUGACCGCCAGCUCGUCAGAGUCCGUUCCUGUCCCGCUUCGCUCCAGCUGGAUCUGCUUCCGUCGUUAAGAUAGUUGCCAAAUGGCCCAUCUUUUCAACAGCGUCCAGAACGGGCCUGUUUCUCGCUUCCCUCCCGAGAAGCGGCCGAAAGAAGAGCAGAAGGGCGUCUCCUUCUGGGCGGCUCACAGAGGAGGAAGGAAACCUUCCCCAGGCGUCCAGCAGCAGAUACUGGUCUUCUUCCCUCGUCACCCAUAAUUACGUCCCAGACUCCGGCCCGAGAUGCCUGCGGGGAGGAAAACGCGACCAUGACAAAUUAAUCUCAAAAUACUUGUCCGGAGUGGAUGGCAGGACAAAAUCAGGGGUUUCUGAGGAAAAACGAAGAGAACAGAUGUUGACUAGACACCCCACAGUGCCUGUGACGGUCCUGCAGUGUUGGUGUGCGCCUCCUUGAGUGUGGGCUGGUGGCGAAGGUCAGUUUAUCUUCCCAGUCUAAGAUGUUUCAAUUCUCUAAUGACCACGUGUCGUUUCAUAAUAACAAAAAAUAGAACUUCAGACAAAUUUCACAUAAACUUCCA